rnacentral:sRNA from 1 species
GUCACUGUCCAUAAAUAACUCAUCGGUUUGAGUUAUUUUAAAGUGACCCGCUUAAGUUCUUCGAGAACUAUGUUAGGGGCGAAAUUAGGCACUCUUGCGAUGCUUCGGAAGUCUGAUACCCUGCGGAGAGUCAUUAAACAAGUCUGAUGGAAAGGCUAGUGUGGCUCUCAUUUAAAAUCACAACAAACAACCGUUGAUGCCUUGCCACCCGGCAAGAGCACGCAAGUUCUUAAAAAAGG